rnacentral:rRNA from 1 species
GAUUCUGGCUCAGGAUGAACGCUGGCGGCGUGCCUAACACAUGCAAGUCGAGCGAUUUACUUCGGUAAAGAGCGGCGGACGGGUGAGUAACGCGUGGGUAACCUGCCCUGUACACACGGAUAACAUACCGAAAGGUAUGCUAAUACGAGAUAAAAUACUUUUAUCGCAUGGUAGAAGUAUCAAAGCUUUUGCGGUACAGGAUGGACCCGCGUCUGAUUAGCUAGUUGGUAAGGUAACGGCUUACCAAGGCGACGAUCAGUAGCCGACCUGAGAGGGUGAUCGGCCACAUUGGAACUGAGACACGGUCCAAACUCCUACGGGAGGCAGCAGUGGGGAAUAUUGCACAAUGGGCGAAAGCCUGAUGCAGCAACGCCGCGUGAGCGAUGAAGGCCUUCGGGUCGUAAAGCUCUGUCCUCAAGGAAGAUAAUGACGGUACUUGAGGAGGAAGCCCCGGCUAACUACGUGCCAGCAGCCGCGGUAAUACGUAGGGGGCUAGCGUUAUCCGGAAUUACUGGGCGUAAAGGGUGCGUAGGUGGUUUCUUAAGUCAGAGGUGAAAGGCUACGGCUCAACCGUAGUAAGCCUUUGAAACUGGGGAACUUGAGUGCAGGAGAGGAGAGUGGAAUUCCUAGUGUAGCGGUGAAAUGCGUAGAUAUUAGGAGGAACACCAGUUGCGAAGGCGGCUCUCUGGACUGUAACUGACACUGAGGCACGAAAGCGUGGGGAGCAAACAGGAUUAGAUACCCUGGUAGUCCACGCCGUAAACGAUGAGUACUAGCUGUCGGAGGUUACCCCCUUCGGUGGCGCAGCUAACGCAUUAAGUACUCCGCCUGGGAAGUACGCUCGCAAGAGUGAAACUCAAAGGAAUUGACGGGGACCCGCACAAGUAGCGGAGCAUGUGGUUUAAUUCGAAGCAACGCGAAGAACCUUACCUAAGCUUGACAUCCUUUUGACCGAUGCCUAAUCGCAUCUUUCCCUUCGGGGACAGAAGUGACAGGUGGUGCAUGGUUGUCGUCAGCUCGUGUCGUGAGAUGUUGGGUUAAGUCCCGCAACGAGCGCAACCCUUGCCUUUAGUUGCCAGCAUUAAGUUGGGCACUCUAGAGGGACUGCCAGGGAUAACCUGGAGGAAGGUGGGGAUGACGUCAAAUCAUCAUGCCCCUUAUGCUUAGGGCUACACACGUGCUACAAUGGGUGGUACAGAGGGCAGCCAAGUCGUGAGGCGGAGCUAAUCCCUUAAAGCCAUUCUCAGUUCGGAUUGAAGGCUGAAACUCGCCUACAUGAAGCUGGAGUUACUAGUAAUCGCAGAUCAGAAUGCUGCGGUGAAUGCGUUCCCGGGUCUUGUACACACCGCCCGUCACACCACGGAAGUUGGGGGCGCCCGAAGCCACUUAGCUAACCCUUUUGGGAAGCGAGUGUCGAAGGUGAAAUCAAUAACUGGGGUGAAGUCGUAACAAGGUACCC